GAUGAACGCUGGCGGCGUGCCUAAUACAUGCAAGUCGAGCGAACAGACGAGGAGCUUGCUCCUCUGACGUUAGCGGCGGACGGGUGAGUAACACGUGGAUAACCUACCUAUAAGACUGGGAUAACUUCGGGAAACCGGAGCUAAUACCGGAUAAUAUAUUGAACCGCAUGGUUCAAUAGUGAAAGACGGUUUUGCUGUCACUUAUAGAUGUAUCCGCGCCGCAUUAGCUAGUUGGUAAGGUAACGGCUUACCAAGGCAACGAUGCGUAGCCGACCUGAGAGGGUGAUCGGCAACACUGGAACUGAGACACGGUCCAGACUCCUACGGGAGGCAGCAGUAGGGAAUCUUCCGCAAUGGGCGAAAGCCUGACGGAGCAACGCCGCGUGAGUGAUGAAGGUCUUCGGAUCGUAAAACUCUGUUAUUAGGGAAGAACAAAUGUGUAAGUAACUAUGCACGUCUUGACGGUACCUAAUCAGAAAGCCACGGCUAACUACGUG
rnacentral:rRNA from 1 species